rnacentral:rRNA from 1 species
UACGUAGGGGGCAAGCGUUGUCCGGAAUCAUUGGGCGUAAAGAGCUCGUAGGCGGCUUGGCAAGUCGGGUGUGAAAACUCCAGGCUCAACCUGGAGACGCCACCCGAUACUGCCAUGGCUUGAGUCCGGUAGGGGACCACGGAAUUCCUGGUGUAGCGGUGAAAUGCGCAGAUAUCAGGAGGAACACCGGUGGCGAAGGCGGUGGUCUGGGCCGGUACUGACGCUGAGGAGCGAAAGCGUGGGGAGCGAACAGG